GCUGAGAAUGUAGCUCAGUGGUAAAGCACCUGCCUACCAUGAGUUGUAGAGGCCCUGGGGUUCAAUCCCCAGCACAGCA
rnacentral:tRNA from 1 species